GUGUCAGCCGCCGCGGUAAUACAGAGACUGCAAGCGUUAUUCGGAUUCACUGGGCGUAAAGGGUGCGCAGGCGGUCGUGUGUGUCAGAUGUGAAAUCCCGGAGCUUAACUCCGGAACUGCGUCUGAAACUACACGACUAGAGCAUUGGAGAGGGAAGUGGAAUUCAUGGUGUAGCAGUGAAAUGCGUAGAUAUCAUGAGGAACACCAGAGGCGAAGGCGACUUCCUGGACAAUUGCUGACGCUCAGGCACGAAAGCAUGGGGAGCAAAAGGGAUUAGAUACCCCCGUAGUCC
rnacentral:rRNA from 1 species